rnacentral:rRNA from 1 species
UACGUAGGGGGCAAGCGUUAUCCGGAUUUAUUGGGCGUAAAGAGCGUGUAGGCGGCCUGACAGGUCUGCUGUGAAAACUCGAGGCUCAACCUCGAGAUGUCGGCGGAAACCGUCUGGCUAGAGUCCGGAAGAGGAGAGUGGAAUUCCUGGUGUAGCGGUGAAAUGCGCAGAUAUCAGGAAGAACACCUAUGGCGAAGGCAGCUCUCUGGGACGGUACUGACGCUGAGACGCGAAAGCGUGGGGAGCGAACAGG